UAAGGAAUAUUGGUCAAUGGACGCAAGUCUGAACCAGCCAUGCCGCGUGGAGGAUUAAGGCCCUCUGGGUUGUAAACUCCUUUUAUCUGGGAAGAAAUGUACUUUUUCUUGAGUACUUGACGGUACCAGAGAAAUAAGCACCGGCUAACUCCGUGCCAGCAGCCGCGGUAAUACGGAGGGUGCAAGCGUUAUCCGGAUUCACUGGGUUUAAAGGGUGCGUAGGUGGGCAGGUAAGUCAGUGGUGAAAUCUCCGGGCUUAACCCGGAAACUGCCGUUGAUACUAUUUGUCUUGAAUAUUGUGGAGGUAAGCGGAAUAUGUCAUGUAGCGGUGAAAUGCUUAGAUAUGACAUAGAACACCAAUUGCGAAGGCAGCUUACUACACAAUCAUUGACGCUGAGGCACGAAAGCGUGGGGAUCAAACA
rnacentral:rRNA from 1 species